UAUUCGGGUCCCGAGCAAUGAGAGCCUACGAACCGUGUCAGGUCAGGAAUGAAGCAGCACUAAGUGGGAAUUCCCGUGUGCCUCGGGGGCGCCUGGGUUGAGU
rnacentral:SRP_RNA from 1 species